rnacentral:rRNA from 1 species
GACGAACGCUGGCGGCGUGCUUAACACAUGCAAGUCGAACGGAGUGGUGAACGGGUGAGUAACACGUGGGUGACCUGCCCUGCAAUUCGGGAUAAGCCUGGGAAACUGGGUCUAAUACCGGAUAGUGUGGGAUGGGCCCGCGGCCUAUCAGCUUGUGGGUGGGGUAAUGGCCUACGAAGGCGGCGCCGGGUAGCCGGCCUGAGAGGGUGGAAGGCCACAUUGGGCCUGAGACACGGCCCAGACGCCUACGGGAGGCAGCAGUGGGGAAUAUUGCACAAUGGGCGGAAGCCUGAUGCAGCGACGCCGCGUGGGGGAUGACGGCCUUCGGGUUGUAAACUCCUUUCACCAUCGACGCGGUAGAUGGAGAAGAAGCACCGGCUAACUACGUGCCAGCCGCCGCGGUAAUAC